rnacentral:rRNA from 1 species
AAUAGCGGCGAUAUCAUGUUGAAUGCACUCAGCACUCAGUUCCUAAUGGAGUAAUGGAGCACUGAAGUUAAUCAACGUUGAGCGUGAUUAGUAUCCGGGUGGGUGAUUAUUUGGGCCAUGCGUGCUGCUGGCU